UACGGGGGGGGCAAGCGUUGUUCGGAAUUACUGGGCGUAAAGGGCUCGUAGGUGGCCAACUAAGUCAGACGUGAAAUCCCCAGGCUUAACUUGGGAACUGCGUCUGAUACUGGGAGGCUUGAGUGCGGGAGAGGGAUGUGGAAUUCCAGGUGUAGCGGUGAAAUGCGUAGAUAUCUGGAGGAACACCGGUGGCGAAGGCGGCAUCCUGGACCGACACUGACGCUGAGGCGCGAAAGCUAGGGGAGCAAACGGG
rnacentral:rRNA from 1 species